ensembl:snRNA U6 U6 spliceosomal RNA
AAGUGCUUGCUUCAGCACUACUAUUCUAAAAUGGGAAUGAUACAGAGAUUAGCAUGGCCUUGCACAAGGAUGACAUGCAAAUUUGUGAAAUGUUCCAUAUUAUA